UCAAUGCACUUACGUGUGAAGGGGCUACCUCGAGUGCCACCUGAUGAAGGUGGCUUUUCCUAAGUCUAAAAAGCCUUGGGAAUAAAAGGGGGGCAAGACUGGUGUCAGCCGCCGCGGUAACACCAGCCCCUCGAGUGGUGGGGAUGAAUAUUGGGCCUAAAGCGUCCGUGGCCUGCCGUGUAAGUUUCCCGUUAAAUCCAGCGUCUUAAGCGUUGGACCGCGGGAAAUACUGUACGGCUAGAGAGUGGGAGAGGUCAACGGUUUUUUUUUUGGUAGGGGCGAAAUCCUUUGAUCCCAGGAGGACCACCAGUGGCGAAGGCUGCUGACCAGGACACGCCUGACGGUGAGGGACCAAAGCUGGGGUAGCGAAUCGGAUUAAAUACCCGAGUAGUCCCAGCCGUAAACGAUGCAGGCUAGGUGUUGAGGUGGCUACCAGCCACUUCAGUGCCGCAGGGAAGCCAUUAAGCCCGCCGCCUGGGGGAGUACGGCCGCAAGGCUGAAACUUAA
rnacentral:rRNA from 1 species